GGGGGCGCCCGGCCCGGCCCGGCCCGGCCUCCCACCCAUCGCCCAGAUAGAAGCAACGCACCAUAUUACUCCCCGCACCGGAAAAGACGGCGCCAUGCGAAGCCGGAAGAGGCGGGGAGGGCCUUCCGUUGCUAUGCCCCUCGCUCCUCCUUCCGCUCACACCAGCUCACCAUCGCAGGAAGCCAAAGCCCACAGCUGCUUCAGCCAGUUUAGUUGCCUGAAUGCCAUCCAGCUCGACCCAGAGGAAGGCAAAAGGGAGGAAACUGGCUGUAGAGUGCCUGUCUAUUGUAGCUAUUUCAGCCCGAAAGUCCUCCUUAGUGAUGAUGAUGUCACCGUAUUUGAUCAGUACAUAUGAAACUGGAUAAAAUUGCACUGCAUUUCUGCGUUUCAACUAUCCAUAUCUGUAAGAAUUCAGAGGAAGGACUGCCAUACUGGGAGUCAGGAUAUCCUACUACAAGAAAACCUUUGUUUCACCACUUCCUAAUAUAGCUAAAUCCUCCAUAUAAAACCUAGAGAAUAGUGACAGUACUGCCAUAGCCAUUUCCCUCUGUACUGAUAUAUUAGAUAUAGGUGUAUGUUUUUUCCAAGCAAUAUGGAAAAUAUUGAAAGCUGUAUAAAAUACAGUAGCUCUCAGAACUGCAGGAACUGUGCUGUUGAAAAUGUAGUCAGUUGUUUGUGUGCUAAAACAAGAGUGACCUGAGAACUGUUCUUGGUGCUCUGGCUAUGUUAAAACACUUGAAAAAGCAUAAAAGUCCACCAGUUAUCUACAGUAAUUCAAAUCUAGAGAGUAUGGUGGUAUGAAGCAAAAGGCAUGCUUUGAUGGAAGAAAAAUAUAGAGCCACGCUUAAGGUACUGUGACUAUUGU